CGAGGAAUGUGAGUUCCAUCACCCUUAGAUCAGGGAAGUAGAAUGUUGUUCCCACAGAGCCAACUCCCACACCUGCGACCUGUCACAGAAAAGAGGACCAGACUGGUCCAAGCAGGACAUUUGAGGUGGGUGGACCUUCUUCCUCUCCCGGUGGUUCUUUUUACCUCUAGGUGGAUCUUCUUCUUCUUCCACCACCACCGCCACCAGUGUGCCUCCUCCAUUGCCUGAGCGACCUAUACC
rnacentral:lncRNA from 1 species